rnacentral:misc_RNA from 1 species
AACUUUGAGCAACGGAUCACUUGGCUCUCACAUCGAUGAAGAACGCAGCGAAAUGUGAUAAGUAAUGUGAAUUGCAGAAUUCAGUGAAUCAUCGAAUCUUUGAACGCACCUUGCGCUCCUUGGUAUUCCGAGGAGCAUGUCUGUUCGAGUGUUAUGAACAUUUCAACCCACCCUUUCUCACUAGAGAAGGGACCGGUGUUUGGUUCGUGGUCGUUCGUGCCGGCUGUUGUUUGCAGCAGGCUCGCCUGAAAUUAAUGAGCAGUUUCGUCUUUGGAAACUUGGCUUGACUUGGCGUAAUAAAUAUUUCGCUGAGGACAACCUCUCUCAUCGAGGUUGGCCAAGUUCUUUAGAGGAGGGCUUCUAAUGAAACUAUAUCAACUCUUUGACCUCGAAUCAGAUAGGACUACCCGCUGAACUUAAGCAUAUCAAUAAGCGGAGGCU